CCUACGGUGUGCUGCAGUAGGGAAUAUUCGGCAAUGGGCGCAAGCCUGACCCAGCAACGCCGCGUGAAGGAAGAAGGCUUUCGGGUUGUAAACUUCUUUUCUGAGGGACGAAGAAAGUGACGGUACCUCAGGAAUAAGCCACGGCUAACUACGUACCAGCAGCCGCGGUAAUACGUAGGUGGCAAGAAUUAUCCGGAUUUAUGGGGUGUAAAGGGCGUGUAGGCGGGAAAGCAAGUUAGAUGUGAAAACUCAGGGCUCAACCCUGAGCCUGCAUUUGAAACUGUUGUUCUGGAGUGCUGGAGAGGCAAUCGGAAUUCCGUGUGUAGCGGUGAAAUGCGUAGAUAUACGGAGGAACACCAGUGGCGAAGGCGGAUUGCUGGACAGUAACUGACGCUGAGGCGCGAAAGCGUGGGGAGCAAACAGGAUUAGAUACCCGAGUAGUC
rnacentral:rRNA from 1 species